CACACUCAGUUACAUGGAGAGACCAUACACACACAGGUGCAGAGGCCCUAAAUGGUAGAGAGGCCACAAUUUGUCAAUGAUAAUUUUCCUUCUUUUACAGCCUGGAUUUCUUUUAUUUCCUAUUGUCAUCUAAUUGCCCUAGCUAAAAUCUCUAAUAUAUCAUUAAACAGAAGUGGUAACAGUGGACAUCCUUGUCUUGUUCCUGAUCUUAAAGGGAAAGCUGGAGAAUAGGAAGUCAUGGAGGCAUUGCAGAAACUCACCCUAAAGAGAACAUCAUCAAUCAGCCGUCAAAAGCAUUCUCAUUGACACACUUUGGUGCUGAGAUUAUUUAAUGGUUGAAAAUGAUUUGCAUUACAUUUUGGAAAAGAUGGAGAUGAACCAUGGUGACUUAAGAUCCACAGCUCCCAGAGGUGACCUUCCCAGAUGUUCCAGGUACCAAGAUGAUUGUGAGCCACACGUGGGGGGCAUGGGAGGACACAGUGAGCCAUUUUGCCCUAUUCCCAACGGAAUCAACAUCAUAAAGAAAGCAAUGUCAUCCUGACAAUUAAACUUUAAAAUAAAAUCAUAAUGGAUCAGAGAAUAUAGAAGCAAAGUUGUCCUAAGAAAGAGAAGUGAAAGGAGGGAUAAAGAGAAACAUUAAAGGGAGGGAAGAAGGGAUGCUAAGGUAGCAAGCCUUUCCGCAGACGAGAAGGGAAGGGAAGGACAGCACACACACACCGCACAGGAAAGAGCAGGAUGGAAUGUUGGCAGAACAAAUAAGGGCAUGGA